rnacentral:rRNA from 1 species
AUUGAACGCUGGCGGCAUGCUUUACACAUGCAAGUCGAACGGCAGCGCGGGCUUCGGCCUGGCGGCGAGUGGCGAAUGGGUGAGUAAUGCAUCGGAACGUGCCCAGUAGUGGGGGAUAGCCCGGCGAAAGCCGGAUUAAUACCGCAUACGACCUGAUGGUGAAAGCGGGGGACCGAAAGGCCUCGCGCUAUUGGGACGGCCGAUGUCGGAUUAGCUGGUUGGUUGGGUAAAGGCUUACCAAGGCGACGAUCCGUAGCUGGUCUGAGAGGACGACCAGCCACACUGGGGCUGAGCCACGGCCCAGACUCCUACGGGAGGCAGCGGUGGGGAAUUUUGGACAGUGGGGGCAAACCUGAUCCAGCCAUGCCGCGUGCGGGAAGAAGGCCUUCGGGUUGUAAACCGCUUUUGUUCGGGAAGAAAUCCUCUGGGCUAAUACCCCGGGGGGAUGACGGUACCGGAUGAAUAAGCACCGGCUAACUACGUG